GACGAACGCUGGCGGCGUGCCUAAUACAUGCAAGUCGAACGAAGCUUUUUUAACUGGUGCUUGCACCGACUUAAACAACUGAGUGGCGAACGGGUGAGUAACACGUGGGUAACCUGCCCCAAAGCGGGGGAUAACAUUUGGAAACAGAUGCUAAUACCGCAUAACCACAGAAGCCACAUGGUUCCUGUGUCAAAGAUGGUUUCGGCUAUCACUUUGGGAUGGACCCGCGGCGUAUUAGCUAGUUGGUAAGGUAAUGGCUUACCAAGGCAAUGAUACGUAGCCGAACUGAGAGGUUGAUCGGCCACAUUGGGACUGAGACACGGCCCAAACUCCUACGGGAGGCAGCAGUAGGGAAUCUUCCACAAUGGACGAAAGUCUGAUGGAGCAACGCCGCGUGAGUGAAGAAGGUUUUCGGAUCGUAAAACUCUGUUGUCAGAGAAGAACGUGUGCGAGAGUAACUGUUCGUGCAGUGACGGUAUCUGGCCAGAAAGCCACGGCUAACUACGUGCCAGCCGCCGCCGUAA
rnacentral:rRNA from 1 species